rnacentral:rRNA from 1 species
CCUACGGGCGGCAGCAGUGAGGAAUAUUGGUCAAUGGACGAGAGUCUGAACCAGCCAAGUAGCGUGAAGGAUGACUGCCCUAUGGGUUGUAAACUUCUUUUAUAUGGGAAUAAAAUGUUCCACGUGUGGGUUUUUGUAUGUACCAUAUGAAUAAGGAUCGGCUAACUCCGUGCCAGCAGCCGCGGUAAUACGGAGGAUCCGAGCGUUAUCCGGAUUUAUUGGGUUUAAAGGGAGCGUAGAUGGGUUGUUAAGUCAGUUGUGAAAGUUUGCGGCGAAACCGUAAAAUUGCAGUUGAUACUGGCGGUAUAGAGUAAAGUGGAGGUAGGCGGAAUUCGUGGUGUAGCGGUGAAAUGUGUAGAUAC